GCGGUCGUGGCGGAAUUGGUAGACGCGCAGCGUUGAGGUCGCUGUGGGCGAUAAGCCCGUGGAAGUUCGAGUCUUCUCGACCGCACCA
rnacentral:tRNA from 2 species